rnacentral:rRNA from 1 species
UUGUAGCCUUGCUAUGGUAUAAUUUAGUGGCAGACGGGUGAGUAAUGUAUAGGAAUCUACCUAGUAGUACGGAAUAAUUGUUGGAAACGACAACUAAUACCGUAUACGCCCUACGGGGGAAAAAUUUAUUGCUAUUAGAUGAGCCUAUAUUAGAUUAGCUAGUUGGUGGGGUAAUAGCCUACCAAGGUAAUGAUCUAUAGCUGAUCUGAGAGGAUGAUCAGCCACACUGGAACUGAGAUACGGUCCAGACUCCUACGGGAGGCAGCAGUGGGGAAUAUUGGACAAUGGGCGAAAGCCUGAUCCAGCCAUGCCGCAUGAGUGAAGAAGGCCUUUGGGUUGUAAAGCUCUUUUAGUGAGGAAGAUAAUGACGGUACUCACAGAAGAAGUCCUGGCUAACUCCGUGCCAGCAGCCGCGGUAAUACGGAGAGGGCUAGCGUUAUUCGGAAUUAUUGGGCGUAAAGGGCGCGUAGGCUGGUUAAUAAGUUAAAAGUGAAAUCCCGAGGCUUAACCUUGGAAUUGCUUUUAAAACUAUUAAUCUAGAGAUUGAAAGAGGAUAGAGGAAUUCCUGAUGUAGAGGUAAAAUUCGUAAAUAUUAGGAGGAACACCAGUGGCGAAGGCGUCUAUCUGGUUCAAAUCUGACGCUGAAGCGCGAAGGCGUGGGGAGCAAACAGGAUUAGAUACCCUGGUAGUCCACGCUGUAAACGAUGAAUGUUAAAUAUGGGGAGUUUACUUUCUGUAUUACAGCUAACGCGUUAAACAUUCCGCCUGGGGACUACGGUCGCAAGAUUAAAACUCAAAGGAAUUGACGGGGACCCGCACAAGCGGUGGAGCAUGUGGUUUAAUUCGAUGCAACGCGAAAAACCUUA